rnacentral:rRNA from 1 species
GACGAACGCUGGCGGCGUGCUUAACACAUGCAAGUCGAACGGAAAGGCCCUGCUUUCGUGGUGUGCGCGAGUGGCACACGGGUGUAAAACACGUGUGUACCCUGCCCUUCAUUGUGGGAUAACUUCAGGAAACUGGGGCUAAUACCGUAUAGGACCUCCUGCGGCUGGUGGGUGGUUGGAUAUUUUGGUCGGGUGGGGAUGGACUCGCGGCUUAUCAGCUUGUUGGUGGGGUAGGGGCUUACCAAGGCUUUGACGGGUAGCCGGCCUGAGAGGGUGACCGGCAACAUUGGGACUGGGAUACGGCCAAGACUCCUACGGGAGGCAGCAGUGGGGAAUAUUGCACAAUGGGCGGAAGCCGGAGGCAGGAACGCCGCGUGCGGGAUGACGGCCUUCGGGUGGUAAACCGCUUUCGCAUGUGACGAAGCGUGAGUGACGGUAAUGGGUAAAGAAGCACCGGCUAACUACGUG